UUCCGUGGCGGACCGUGCGGGGAGGCUUCGGCCUGCCGUUUUCCUCAUACCCGGUGAUCCUACCCCCGUACGGUCCGCCUCCCUU
rnacentral:antisense_RNA from 2 species